AUAACAAUUACAAGCUCACUGUAGUGGUAAUAGUGCUUAAUGUGUUCCUCAAAGUCAUCUAGCUCAAGUGAAAAUCUUGAAAUUUUAUAUUGAAUGCUGUACAUAAAAGAUCCUUGCACCAUGACCACUUGAUGCUUGGGUUAAUAACCCUUUAAGGUUUUGUCAUUUUGUAGGCAAAAUGAGACAUAAAAUAUAGACUACAAAUAUAACCCAUAAUGAAAGUCAAAAGGGCAAAAAACAGAGUGAAGAGGAGGUAAGGGGAAAUGUGUGGAAGGAAGAUGGAAAACAGCUGUUUAGCGAAAACGAGUGCACAAAAAAAACUACAUAAAAGGGUGAUCUUUCUUCACAGAAUUAACAAA